rnacentral:rRNA from 1 species
AGAGUUUGAUCMUGGCUCAGAGUGAACGCUGGCGGCGUGCCUAACACAUGCAAGUCGAACGAUGAUGAAAGAGCUUGCUCUUUCUGAUUAGUGGCGCACGGGUGAGUAUACCAUAGAUAAUGUACCUCUUAGUUCGGGAUAGCCACUGGAAACGGUGAUUAAUACCGGAUACUCCUUCUCAUUAUAAGAUGAGUCGGGAAAGUUUUUUCGCUAAGAGAUCAGUCUAUGUCCUAUCAGCUAGUUGGUGAGGUAAUGGCUCACCAAGGCUAUGACGGGUAUCUGGUUUGAGAGGAUGAUCAGACACACUGGAACUGAGACACGGUCCAGACUCCUACGGGAGGCAGCAGUGAGGAAUAUUGCACAAUGGAGGAAACUCUGAUGCAGCAACGCCGCGUGGAGGAUGACGCAUUUCGGUGUGUAAACUCCUUUUAAGAGGGAAGAUAAUGACGGUACCUCUUGAAUAAGCACCGGCUAACUCCGUGCCAGCAGCCGCGGUAA